rnacentral:rRNA from 1 species
CCUACGGGGGGCUGCAGUGGGGAAUAUUGCGCAAUGGGCGAAAGGCUGACGCAGCGACGCCGCGUGGGGGAUGAAGCAUUUCGGUGUGUAAACCCCUGUUGCCCGGGACGAACAACUGGUUUCGACCAGUCUGACGGUACCGGGUGAGGAAGCACCGGCUAACUCCGUGCCAGCAGCCGCGGUAAUACGGAGGGUGCGAGCGUUGUCCGGAAUCACUGGGCGUAAAGGGCGCGUAGGCGGUCUGUUAAGCGUGCGGUGAAAGCCUGGGGCUCAACCCCAGGUCUGCCGUGCGAACUGGUGGACUUGAGCACUGUAGAGGCAGGUGGAAUUCCGGGUGUAGCGGUGGAAUGCGUAGAGAUCCGGAAGAACACCGGUGGCGAAGGCGGCCUGCUGGGCAGUAGCUGACGCUGAGGCGCGACAGCGUGGGGAGCAAACAGGAUUAGAUACCCUUGUAGUC